CAUCACUCAAACUUUGGAACAAGGAAGACAAUGUGUGGGCUGUAAUCUGCGGGCCCUGGGCUGUGUGGAUCUGGCAGGGACAGCAGCAUGGCCUCUAACCCAGCUGCUGAGUUGACUUCCUUUGGAUUCCUCUCCAAAUUGUGGCAAAGACGUCCCCAGCACCUCGAUGCUACAUGAACCCCAGCACCAUUCUCCCAGGAGAUGCAAGGUCCCUAGUAAACUCAAGUAUAUCGAAUUUCUAAAAUCAUGCUCUCGCUCCUGGACCGUGAAAGGGAAAAACUUAUCAUCAGUCUGGAUCAUGCCCGUCCUGUAUGGGGACACGAGUGUGAGAGCCGUGACUCACCCCAGGGCACAGGACUCCUUCCCUGGGACCCAACCUCCUGAUCCCAGCCUCCGCCCGUCUCCCCAAGGCACUGGGCAUCUUCAGGCUCUCAGCUGCUUGUCCUCUGUGGAAAGAUGUGGCAAAAUAACUUCCAUGGAACUAAACG
rnacentral:lncRNA from 1 species